CGCUUUGCUGGUUGGUAAUGGUUUAACGGCAGCAGCAAAGAUGAAGUGUCCUACUGUUGGAAAAGGUGCUGAAACAGGACAAAGGGUGGCGAAGUUAGAGCCCUUGCAUCGAACGUCUGGCGGGU
rnacentral:ncRNA from 1 species